UCGAAAAAAUAUAAGUGAUGUGUCAGGAAGCAAAAUUAAAAAUAUUCAUAAAUUUGUUAAUUGGUUGCGUUUUAUUUCGUUUUGCACCCUUAACCACGUCAAACCAACUUAGGGGAGAGGUAUUGAAAACAAUUAAGGAUUUUAUCAUUCAAUCCAAACUAUAUUUUUGUGAAAAAAUUAGAUUUCAUUUUUCUUUUAAAUCAUACAAAUCCAAAUCAGAAAACUUUUACGAAAAGGCAUAUAACAUAUGAACAAAAUGAAAUGUAUACUUCGUUUUUAUUAACAACUAGCUGACCCGGGCCCGCUCCGUUGCGCCUUCUUUUACUUUAUAUGGAACAAAACUAUUCUUUGCAAAUUUAUUUUCGACAAUUAAAAAGCUUUUAGUAAAAUACCAUGCUACGAAAAAUAGAAUAUGUAUAUCGCUUGACUAAUAACAUAACAAAAUAAAUGCCUUUAUCUGAA